GAUGAAGAACGUAGCGAAAUGCGAUAAGUAGUGUGAAUUGCAGAAUUCAGUGAAUCAUCGAAUAUUUGAACGCACAUUACGCCCUUUGGUAUUCCAAAGGGCAUGCCUGUUCGAGCGUCAUUUGUACCCUCAAGCUUUGCUUGGUGUUGGGCGUCUUGUCUCUAGCUUUGCUGGAGACUCGCCUUAAAGUAAUUGGCAGCCGGCCUACUGGUUUCGGAGCGCAGCACAAGUCGCACUCUCUAUCAGCAAAGGUCUAGCAUCCAUUAAGCCUUUUUUUCAACUUUUGACCUCGGAUCAGGUAGGGAUACCCGCUGAACUUAAGCAUAUCAAUACGCGGAGGA
rnacentral:misc_RNA from 1 species